AGCAAAUAAAAAAGGAGCAAAUAAAUCCCCCUCCCUGAGCGCCUCCCGUUAGAUGGCGCUACAGACUUGACAACCACGUGUAUAGAAGGGAAAAGGGGAAAAAAAAAAAAAAAGAAUAAUAAUAAAAUAUAACCCUCUUAUUGUGCAAAACGCAGAGAGCCGGCCCCGCGUAGGGCCGAGGGGGGAGCGGGGCCGGGCGGGGGGAUGCUCUUUCCCCGCGGGGAGCGCCCGGAACCCCCCGCACCCCCGUGCCCAGCUGACGCGGGGCCGGAGGCUCAACACGCGGGACCCGAAUUGUCGGGGAGUAAAUCAGCCACACGUUAAAGGCACCCUCUGCCAGGGCUCCGGGUGGGAGCCCCUUCCCAUUGCUCUAAACACAUCCCAGUACCGUCUGGCAACGUUUGAGGAGGGAGCCCUUAACCUGCGAAGCAAGGGCUUGAGGUCCAAAACACCUCUUUCCCUACCCCUUAUAUCCCCCCCCAUCCACAUCCACGUCGCGAGGAUGAAUUUGGCUGCAUCUGGGGUGGAUGGAUGCAUCUGUCUCCUGAGGCCUCCAUCUACUUGGGGCUAUGCCACCAGGUCUACUCCAUCUUCUCCCGGAGAGCCAGGCGAAGGCACAGGGGCUCCCGGGUGUUGAACUUGCUCCCCCCGAGCGCACCGGGAACAAAAGCGGCCCCCGAAGCGGUGGCAAACCCGACGGCAGCGCUCCUAUGGCCUGGGCCGGCUCCCCCCACCCUGUGCGGAGCAGGACGAGGUCACAGAAGCCCCCCGCAAACUUUGGGGACGGGCAUCCUCUCCGUCCCUCCGCCCCGACGGCCCGCACGGGGCUGUAGGAGCGGGGGGAGGCAGAACAGGGGGAUUUGGGACAAUAGGCGGAGUGGAUUAUUCGUUCCCGUAGGCAAUACUUCCCUGGAUGGGCUUCGGGAUGCAGUUGGAGGCUCGGGAACAAAGCGGGCAUCUCAUGUCAAGGCUCCUUCCAAGGAAGAAAUAAUUCUGCUGGGACCCUGUGCCUGGACUUUGGAAGACAUGAUGCAGUGGUUUCAUCUGAAAGCACCAUCCCUGUGGGUCGAAACUCUCCUCUGUACCGUGUGCUUGGCAAGAAGGGCAACGAGGGGACACUUGGAGUGA
rnacentral:lncRNA from 1 species